GGUGGCCUUCGGGACCGUCCUGAGACAGGUGCUGCAUGGCUGUCGUCAGCUCGUGUUGUGAAAUGUUGGGUUAAGUCCGCAACGAGCGCAACCCCUAUCCUUUGUUGCCAGCGAUUCGGUCGGGAACUCAAAGGAGACUGCCGGUGAUAAACCGGAGGAAGGUGGGGAUGACGUCAAGUCAUCAUGGCCCUUACGAGUAGGGUUACACACGUGCUACAAUGGCGCAUACAAAGAGAAGCGACCUCGCGAGAGCAAGCGGACCUCAUAAAGUGCGUCGUAGUCCGGAUCGGAGUCUGCAACUCGACUCCGUGAAGUCGGAAUCGCUAGUAAUCGUAGAUCAGAAUGCUACGGUGAAUACGUUCCCGGGCCUUGUACACACCGCCCGUCACACCAUGGGAGUGGGUUGCAAAAGAAGUAGAUAGCUUAACCUUCGGGAGGGCGUUUACCACUUUGUGAUUCAUGACUGGGGUGAAGUCGUAACAAGGUAAGCGUAGCGAG
rnacentral:rRNA from 1 species